rnacentral:rRNA from 1 species
CUUGAACGCUGUCGGCAGGCCUAACACAUGCCAGUCGAACGAGUGGCGGACGGGUGAGUAAUGUCUGGGCAACUGCCUAAUGGAGGGGGAUACCUCCUGGCAACGUUGGCUACUCCCGCAUACCAUCCGAUCUGCCCAUAUGGGAGUAGCGAGUAGGUGGGGUACAGGCUCAACUAUGCGACGAUCCCUAGCUGGUCCUAGAGGAUGCCCAGGCAGACGGGAACUGAGAGAAGGGCCAGACUCCUACGGGAGGCAGCAGUGGGGAAUAGUGCACAAUGGGCGGAAGCCUGAUGCAGCCAUGCCGAGUGGAUGAAGAAGGCCUUCGGGUGGUAAAGUACUUUCAGCGGGGAGGCGUUACCCGCAGAAGAAGCACGGGCUAACUCCGUGGCAGCAGCCGCGGUAAUUC